UUCCAAGGUAUAAAUGAACUCAUUAUAACUCCAAAUUUUUAAAAUUAAAAAAAGUUACUUCUCUAGUAAAUAGAUCAUACAGUCACUAUUAUCUAAUUUAGUUUAAUGAACUGAGGACCCCUGAGUUUAUUUCCAUCACCUUCCCCUAAUUUUUAAGCAGUAAAUGAUGCAACAGAGGGUGAUGAGGUAGGUUAGGCCGCCCCCAGCCCCCUACCCUCAAUGCCUAGUGGGAGGUUGGCAGAAGGUACUCUAGUCAAAGCUGGAGCAGAGGUCUACCCACACACCUUGGGAGAUAUGAAUCUAACAAUCAGGAUAAUGGUAUCUCCAGCACUCAAACUAUGCCUGGACGGUAGUAAGCACUGAAUUGGCAUUUUACAUUGAAAGAAAAUACUAGCAGAAGGACAAACAAAAGAACCAUCAUACUCCACUGCUCUUGGCAUUCCUUUGUAAGUUGCAUAAGGACCCACUAGAGGGCUGUAAAUCACCACAUGACAAGCAAGGCAUCAGGGCCUCUGGACCAGUCCACCCCCAGGCCUGUCCUGAUGGGACAGUCUGAGAUUUGCAUGUGGAGACUUCCAAUCUCAGACAAGAUGUUUUGUAUGCCUUAUCUCCACAAUUACUUGGAGCCAUUUGAAGUCAGGGAUUGUGGAAAUUCUUUGAAGUGCUUAAUAAAGAUUUCUAGAAAUCAAAAAAAGAGAGAGGGAGAUUCUUUGCUUGGGAAGAGCAUAAACCAAAAGAUGUUAAAGAAAGGUGAGUGGGAUAGUAUGUGAUCAAUAAAUAACCAGCUGAGUGCUGAA